UACGUAGGGGGCAAGCGUUGUCCGGAUUUAUUGGGCGUAAAGAGCGUGUAGGUGGCCAGGUAGGUCGGUUGUGAAAACUGGAGGCUUAACCUCCAGACGUCGACCGAAACCAUCUGGCUAGAGUCCGGAAGAGGAGAGUGGAAUUCCUGGUGUAGCGGUGAAAUGCGCAGAUAUCAGGAAGAACACCCGUGGCGAAGGCGGCUCUCUGGGACGGUACUGACGCUGAGACGCGAAAGCGUGGGGAGCGAACAGG
rnacentral:rRNA from 1 species